CGCAGCCAAAGUCGGGCCUUUUCGUUGGCAUCAACAAGGGUCAUGUCGUCACCAAGCGCGAGCUGCCUCCCCGCCCGUGCCACCGCAAGGGGGUAAGCCAACCUUCAGCCUUUUGCUGGUCAUCAUUUUGAUAUCGCGGGUGGUAUUGGUGGUGUGAUUAAGUGUUAGAUGUUGUGGGGUUUAGGAUGCAGAGAAGCAGAUAUCUUACUAGUUGAUAAACUGUGCGGUGAAAGUCUUUAUACGGUUGUGUAGGUUUGGUUUUAAGUCUUGUCCUUGUUCAUUUCUACAACUCAACAAAACACAAUUCGACGGAUCUGCAAUGAUAGUGUAGGAGUUCCACUGUACUUCAUGCGGAUGGAAGGUUUGUUUGCUGUGAAUAGUGUUAGGCAUGUUGGUCUACAGGUUCGAAGAACCGCAAGUUUAUUAUAGAUGUAUGUUUUGUUUUAAGUAGAACUUUUUCCUAUGUGAUCAUUGUUUCUACUUGGAAAUAUUUGGUUUUUCUACGCUCUAUAUUUGGUUUUAUUUAUUAAUCUUGUAAAAGCCAUGAUUGUGUCUGUACAUGUAAAUGAUUAGCACAAGUAUGCGGUAGAUUUACAUAUCUUUGCACUUGAUUGUUUUCUGUGUCCUUCAUUCCAAGUUAUUUUGUUGUUCAGAAAUCAACGAAGAGGGUGUCUAUGGUCAGGGGCCUGAUCAGAGAGGUUGCUGGGUUUGCUCCUUAUGAGAAGCGUAUCACUGAGCUUCUGAAGGUUGGCAAGGACAAGCGUGCCCUGAAGCUUGCUAAGAGAAAGCUUGGAACUCACAAGAGGGCAAAGAAGAAGAGAGAGGAGAUGGCGGGCGUCCUCAGGAAGAUGAGGUUUGUAAAUGUGGAACUUUAUUGUGAUAAAACAAAAAUAUUGCUUGGUAGCUUGUCUUUCAAAUGCUUUGGCAUGGUUAAUUCAUUGCCUCUGCUAAUUUGUUGCAUAAUUAUGAUUAAUUGUUAGCCAAAUGAUUUUUUCAUUAAUGCACAUCAAUCAAAGUUCUGCAUAUUGAUUCUGCCACUUGAGUUUGUGUAGAGACUAGCGCAUAUUGACUGUACAUACUGUGGUAUACUAUCCGAAUCUUGUCUGAUCUGCAUAUGUAAACACGUCUUGAAUUUCUACUAUCUGAUCAAUUAUAUACUUUGCCUAGUUUAAAUUGACACUAUCCUUGCACCAUUUGUUAUACUUCUAAUAGUAAUGAAUUUUAAUAUUUUGAAUUUUAUGUUGACAUUUAGUAAUAUUUUUGAAUUUUAUGUUGACAUUUAGUAAUAUUUUUGAAUUUUAUGUUGACUUAAUAGAAAAGAUCCUUCUUUGUACGGUAUAACUGUCAGUAUAUCUAUAACUUAAUUUUCUGUUGGGAUCUGCAGGUCGGCUGGUACGCACACUGACAAAAAGAAAUAGAGAGCAUUUCAAGUUCAUGGAGCUGGCUGCCAGAGAUUAUGUUCCAGUGUCUGAUUUUCCAUACAUGUAGAACCUAAUAGACAUGUCAAAGUAUUAUGUAUCGAACCAGCUCAUGGGAUUUUGCUCCUUCCAAUGCAUCCAGGGUUUAUGUAUCGAACCAAUUUAUGGGAUCUUGCUCUUAUUCUAAUGCAUCCAUGGUUUGUGAAUCUUUUGCUUUGGGUUGCUCCGGCCUUUGUUCAUUUAUCUUUGAUCCAUUACCGUGAAUUGUAUGCUAUGGUUCCAACCUAAUCUGAAAACUUUAUCUUUGAAAACAUGUCUCAACCAUAAUCUAUAAACACAUUUUCUUGUGUUAUAUUUAACACUACGGUUUUCUAUAUACCCCAUCUAUUGCUUUCUAAAACAGUUUUCAUAGUAAUUCAAGUUCAAUAGCCAUAAUGAUAAUAUGAGCUCCUUCAUCUACUUCCUUUAUUCCAAUUUCUCCAUUUUUUCAAUUUGCAAAGCAGUUUUUAUUAGAAUUACGGUUCAAUAGCAGUAAUACUAAUUGGAUGUCGGUGUUUAGAAUUAGCACCAUUAAGUAAAUUUAUGUAUACAUGUUUUGACUAUGUAUGGUAUGCUCAGUGUGUGCAAGAUUUGCGGCCUGUUUGGUUGUGUUGUGGUUGUGAAAAAAACUGUUUCUGUUUGGUUGUGUUGUGGUUGUGAAAAAAACUGCUGUGAGCUUUGGAAAAAGAUGAUUUGGGCUGUGAGCUGUUAAAAAGCUAAAAACCGUUUGGUGGAAAUCACUAAAAGUCGUUAAAAGUUAUUUGAUAUAUGUUUUUAUAGAAAACCACUAAAAUAGAUUCAGGGAUACUUUCAGUUUUGCACUGUGAGAAAGUCAACUUUUAGAAAAAAGUGCUUUCUGGAUCUAGCCAAAAGCCAAACCAAGCACACCCUUUACUGUUUUGGACAGAACGUCUCUAAUUUUAAUCUUUGGUGGCUUGCGGUAUCGAUAUCUUGUUGCUUAUAGUAAGGGUUAUAAGUGGGAGAGAUGUACUCUCAAGUCUCUAUGAGUUGUAUUCCUAAGGAGAGAUGCUCUCAAGUCCCUAUGAGUUGUAUUCGUAAGGGUUCUACGUAUCAGGUGUUUGUUAUAUUCUCGUAGUCUCACUCUGGUUCCCUCCCCUCCUCCGACUGGAGCUUCUGCCUUUUACAGAGCAAGGCGGGAUCAGUUACAGGUGGUUUCUCUUGGAAGGAAUCGACAUGUCUUCAUGUGUGUCGUUAUCUGUUCCACAUAUCUCCCUUCCAACUGUUCGAGUGCUGAUGAAGCGUGCCAACAACGGAAGUCCGAGCUUCAUCAUUACUUUGCCUGUCCGUCCGCACCUGUACCGACCCCUGCACCAACGGUACCAUGACAGGCACAAGAGGUGGAAUCCUAGAGCAUGGGUUGUCGUCGUCGGAUGCUAGUCUCUGGUGGGGUUCAAGGGUAAGGGAGAAGACCACGUGAGAUUAGAGGUGCUAAUGGAUUUUCUUUUCAAAAUGAUAGAACCCUAAAUAAAUUUUAGUUUAAAAAUGAAUAGAAAUAGAGCUCGAUCAUAAUCCAGUCUGAUCCUUAAAUUUUAUAGUGUAAAAUUUAGAGCCAAUUAUCACUUAUACAUGAGAUGGGAAGCAGAGAUCCGGAGUGCACAUAACUGUAGAGGAGAUCGUCUAAAAGCAACGUUGCUUGGAGGACAAUGAGUUAGAUUAGAAAGAAGUAUAUGAACUUUUUUUAUAACGGGCCGUUUGGAUCUAUUCAUUUGGAGGAAUUGGAUUUACUUAAUAAAGUAGUCUACUUGGCUUGGAAUUUCACAUUCCACCACUUUUCAAAUCUCAGAUAUAAGCCUAUCUCGAAUUCAUAGGGUGGAGCAUGAGAAAUGAUUUUAUAUGUCAACGAAAUAUAUGUUUCUAAUCUGCAACUUAUAAGACACUCUUCGGCUCACUCCUCUAUAGUAAAAAUGUAACAUAUGGAUGUCUCCCACAUAUUGCCAAUAAUAGUAUACAAACAUAUUUCACAUAAAAUCAUAUUAACUUAAUUGAUUUUUGUCUAAAUUACUAUUAUUAGAAUGAAAUUCAAUUCCAAGGACGCAAACGGGGUGUAAAAGGAAUGACAUUAGAAACCGGAAAACUGGUGAGAAGGUCUGAGAUGUGGACUUAGAUAGUGUUUGGUUCCAGAGCCUAUUUGGAUGGAAUGGCUCUGUUUCAGAUUCUGAGUAUGGAAUGGCUCCAUUCUGUGUUUGGCAAUCAGAACCGAGCCGCUCUGUUUUUCUGUUUGAUUCUAGAGUGAAGUAGAAAGAAUCGACUUUAUUCUAUGUUUAGCAUAUUCAUACAACUAUAUAUAUAUAUAUAUAUAGGCGGCACUAAAAUGCACCUGGGUGCAUUUUAGUUUGUGGAUGCACAGACCCAAGACUUCCUGUCCCCCGUCGCCGCCUCGCGCAUAGACCCAAGACUCCCUGCCCCCCGCCGCCGCCUUGCGCCUCCCUGUCCCGCGCCGCCGCGCGCCUCUCUGUCAGCGCGCCUCCCUGACCCGCCGACUCCUCCUUCCUCCGAUCCUCUAACCCUAGAUCCAUGGCCCCACCGUCGCUGCCGCACCUUGAAUCGCCUCGAUGCUCAACCCCGCAUUAGGUGUGAUUGCAACUGCUGUAUAAUUCUACGCAAAUAUCUGUUAAAAAAUGUAAACAAAAUGAUUGUAACUGCUGGUGUGUUGUAAUUGCAACUGCUGGUGUGUUGUAAUUGCAACUGCUGGUGUGGUGUGGAUGCAACUGCUGAGUUACUCUUAUGUGAUUGCAAGUACUGAAUAAUUCUGGGAAAUUUUGUUAAAAAAAUAUGAUUGCAACUGCUGGUCUGGUGUAAUUGCAACUGCUAGUCUGGUGUGAUUGCAACUUCUAUAUAACUAUGUCCAAAAUCUGUUAAACAAAUAAUGAUUGCAACUGCUGUCUGGUGUAAUUGCAACUGCUGGUCUGGUGAUUGCAACUUCUAUGUAACUAUAUCCAAAAAUUUGUUAAACAAACAAUGAUUGCAACUGUUGUCUGGUGUAAUUGCAACCGCUGAUCUGGUGUGAUUGCAACUUCUAUAUAACUAUGUCCAAAAAUCUGUUAAACAAAUAAUGAUUGCAACUGUUGUCUGGUGUAAUUGCAACUGCUGGUCUGGUGUGAUUGCAACCUCUAUAUAACUAUGUCCAAAAAUCUGUUAAAACAAACAAUGAUUGCAACUGCUGUCUGGUAAUUGCAACUGCUGGUCUGGUGUGAUUGUAACUUUAUAUAACUAUGUCCAAAAAAUUUGUUAAACAAAACAAUGAUUGCAACUGUUGUCUGGUAUAAUUGCAACUGCUGGUCUGGUGUGAUUGCAACUUAUGUGAAGAGGUUGAGCCGUUCGCGGAAGAGCCGUUCCCGGAGAAAGAGGGGCGCGGGCGAGUAAGUGAAAAGGUUCUGUCAGGAGCGUGCGGGAGGGACGAAGACGGUCUGGGUGGGGCGGUUGGCUCAGACCUGGCGCGUAGGUUCGGCCUGGGUGCAUUCUCUAUAUUGAAUGCACCCAGGUGUAAUAUAUAAAAACAGUAUAUAUAUAUAUAUAUAUAUAUAUAUAUAUAUAUAUAUAUAUAUAUAUAUAUAUAUAUAUGGUAGGUAUAACGGGAGCCAUGGGCUUCCAAUAGUUAAAGUAAGCCCAGGCCAACCACCCUGCAACGUGGUUCAACCCAACGCGCCGACUCAACUAGGUUGUUGGGUGCGCCAUCCGCCCCAUGCGCGCAAAAAAGGAAUGCAUGCAUGAGUCAAACAUGUUCCCUUGCAUGCACGUAAAUUUAGGAAAAAUAUGUGUGACAGUUUCUAUUUUUAAAUGCUUUAUUUCUGUUGGGUCGAAGGCGAACGCGCUACCCUUCGCUCCAUGCCUUCGUGACGAAGACCACAUCCACAGAGCGCGCCCGAGCAAGCCGGAGGCGUCGAUCGGAGGAAGACCGAUGCGGUCCCCCUUCGUCCUCUCCAAGGCAAGACGAAGGCUCUGUCGAAGUCUACUAGUCCCACGCCCUCACCACGUGGGGAGGCCCAGGUGGGAUUCGACCCACUGUAACGGGCCCCGCGCGGAUAAGUGUAUUACGGGCCGCGUCUGUAAUAGCCUUUCCUGUAAUGACAAUAUGUAACCUCCUCCCGUGGGAAUAUUCUGGGGACAGACAGGGUACUCGAGGGCAUAAACGUCUUUGACAAUGGACGGGUGGCCGCUCGAGUACCUAUAAAUACCCCCGUAUAGUGCCCGUGAGAGGCCAGAUUAACAAAGCUUUUGCCAUCCCGCGUUAAAAUUUGCUUGCACUCUUUCCACUCCCCCAUUGGAUCAACUUGCCCUGGAGAGCAAGUUCCAACAUUUGGCGCCCACCGUUCGUGCUACGAAGAACAACCCGCAAUGCCCCCCAAGCGAGCUAGUUCGAAGGCAGCCGCAUCCAUCGACGAAGCAGCGAAGGCAGCGUUGCUGGCUGAGAAAAAAGGCAAGGCCCUCGCAGACAACACCCACCAAGAGGCCUUCGAAGAUGAAGUUGUCAGCAAAAGACAGUGCCAAGAGCACCCCACCCCGAAGGCACCCUACGCACCUGUAGCUCCGGAGGCCUACCACAAGCACCACACCCAGGCUUCGCUCCACCAGAGGGCGAAGACGCAAUAGAGGACGACGAAGUCAUUGACAUCUCAGCCGAAGACCAGCUACAACUGCAGGCCCUGCACAUCAAGAACCACAACCUCCAAAAGCAGAAAGACAUCCUCGAGGCCAAGCGCCAACGUGUCACCGCCUAGGCCAAGGUGCGCCAGAUGAUACGGGACGAGGAGCAGAGAGCUCGGGAGCUCGAGCAAGAAAUCACGCUCAUCCAGAGCGAAGGCCAGCACAGUCUGCACCAGGGUCCGCCCCUACAGCAGCGCGUCCCAGCCGGAGACCUAUUCAUACCACAACGCGGGCCCUUCAUAUCGCAUGUCACAGCUUUCCAAGGCAUCAACUACCUCGAUGAGCGAAGCCCCCUGGCUCCGCAGCUCCAAGCAUCACCUUGGCCCGCCAACUUCAGGGCAGGCACCUACCCCAAGUACAACGACAGCACUAACCCAACACAAUACAUCAUGAGCUACCAAGUCGCUGUCGCAUCGUACGGAGGGGACGACACCACGAUGGCCAAGUCUUUCAUCAUCGCGCUCGAAGGCUCGGCCCUGACCUGGUACACCAGAUUACCGCCACUAUCCAUCGACUCCUGGAAAGGACUCCGGGACAAGUUCCUGCUCAACUUUCAAGGGUAUCGACCCGAUAUUGACGCUCUGGCUGAGCUAUCACUCUGCAAGUAGCAAGAGAAGGAAACCCUUCGGGAGUAUUACAAAAAGUUCCUGACCCUCAAGUCGCAACUGCCAUUGGUCGACGACCACAUCGCGAUCCAUUACGCCAUCAGCGGCCUUCGGGCUGGCGUCCUGUACAGCCACUGCAUCAGGGAUCCACCUAAAACUCUCCAAGAGCUAUACCAGCUAUUCGAGAAGUACGCCAGGUCCGAAGAGCUACAUCAACGAAAGAUGGAGUCUUAGAGGAAGCCAAAGGACCCUCCACAGUCCAACAGAAACUGGACCAGGCCUUCGUAGCCAGACUCCGGUCGGGACAGUCGAAGCCAACAACAGGUGCACAACAUAGCCAAUCAGCACCCAGCCAGAGAAACCGUCCGCCGUCAAGAAUACCCCCAAGGCCGCGGCAAUGGCACCAGAGGGAGAGGCCGGGGACGGACGCAGCAGCCACGCAGAUUCUACUGCCUAUUCCAUGGCGAGGUCUGCGCGCACCCAACAAGAGAUUGUCCAGAAACGAAGGCCACCAGGGACAAGAUGUCCAGGGCACAGCCAGCCGACAACCAGAGAGUUGUCACGCACACAUACCACCACCACCAACAACAACCUUACAACAACGACCACGUCCAACACCCACCCAACCACGCGUACCAACACCGCCAGGAAGUGCAAGUCAUUCCAAACCCGCCUCCACCUCCACAUCACCCAAAUCCACACCACCAUAAUCACCCCCAAGCACCAAAGCAAGAAGACUUCGCCGAACAACCAUAUCGCGGAGUCAUCCAUAUGAUCACCGGAGGGUAUAGCGUGGACUUCGAAACGAAGCGGCAGAAGAGGGACCACUAUCGAAGUGUUAACCACGUCGCCCUCACCGGCCCAGUCGUACAAACAAGGUGGUCUCAUGUGCCACUCACCUUCGACGCCAGGGACAUUGAUCUGCGCAGUGCCCCUCACAUCGACGCCAUGGUGAUCAACUGCAGCGUAGCAGGUUGGGACCUACACAAAGUCCUGGUCGACAACGGCAGCCAAGCCGACAUUAUCUUCCUGCACGCCUUUGACCACAUGGGCAUCAGCCAUAGUUUGCUCAAGCCUUUAGACACCCCCUUUAUGGCUUCGCCUGGAAGGGCACCUUUCUCAUCGGCAAGAUCGAGCUACCCCUGUCCUUCGGUGUAGCACCCAAUGCACGAAGUGAGCAGGUCACCUUCGACAUCGUCGACAUGGUAUACCCGUACAACGCCAUAAUGGGCCGGGGCUCCAUCAACAAGUUUGAAGUGGCCAUUCACGGACUUUACCUAUGAAUGAAAAUCUCGGGUCCGCAAGGUGUGAUCACAGUCUAUGGCAACCAACAGACCGCACACAAUAUUGAAAGAGACUUCGUCCUAAGGCAACAGAACGUGCAUUGCCUCACAGCACAACACGAAGGCUUUGAAGGGACCCGCCCAACCACUGACGAAAAAGUAAAGGCGCAGCUGCAAAGCAACGACGGAACAAAGGCGGUACCCCUUGACCCGACCACCCCUAAGAAAACGAUCAUAAUUAGCGAAGACCUAAACUCGCAAGACGAGGAAAAACUCAUCUCCUGCCUCUCCCGCAACAAGGACAUCUUCGCUUGGUCCACCCAUGAUCUGGUCGGAGUCAGCCGCACCAUCAUAGAGCAUGGCCUGGGCAUCGACCCUUCGGUAUGCCCAAGAAAGCAAUGACUGCGCAAAAUGUUCGACGAGAAGACCAAAGACGCGAAAGUCGAGGUGCACCGCCUGUUGGAAGCCAACUUCAUCGAGCCAAUCGGUUACCCUACAUGGCUUGCCAACAUGGUCAUGGUGCAAAAGAAAAGCGACAAGUGGCGCAUGUGUAUCGACUUCACUAGUCUCAAUAAGGCCUGCCCCAAGGACAAUUCCCCCUGCCAUGGAUCGACAAAAUUGUCGAUAGCGCAGCAGGAUGCGAAGUCAUGUCCCUCCUCGAUUGCUUCUCCGGUUACCACCUGUCGGGUACCGUAAUUAGGGGUACCCCCAAUACUCCUAAGCAUGGCUGGAAAACAUCCUCAAAAUAGACCGUAAAGACCGGUAAGCGUGGUUCAAAGUUGAAGCCUUGUCAGCCAAGGGACGGGACCUCGUCUCGCCCGAGCCCGGCCUCGGGCAAGAACACUAGUCCCGGACGGAUUCACGCCUCACCCGAGGACCUCCUCAGGCAGUAGGCGCACCCCCGGCUCGCCCGAGGCCAAGCUCGAGCAAACUUUGUCGUACAACAACCUCGGCCAAAUCGCCUUACCAACCGACCGUAUCGCAUGCACAUUUAAUGCAGGGAUCGCCUAACACCUUAUCCUGACACGCGCGCCUCAGUCGGCAAGGUCGAAAUGACCGCAGUCACUUCGCCCCUUUACUGAUCAUUCUGACAAGAAAACAACACUAUUCACCUCGUUCCGACUACUGUGCCAACCACCAGGGUAAGACUAACAACAGUAAGUCACGACCUCUCCCGAGUUCAGCCUCGGGCGCAACAGGGAACUCCGCCUCGCCCGACCCCAUGCCUCAACCUCAGCCCUGGCCUCGGGAGAAGGUCUCCGCCUCACCCGACUCCAGGCCUCGGCCUCAGCCUCGGCCUAGGGAGAAGGUCUCCGCCUCGCCCGACCUCAGCCUCAGCCUCAGGAGAAGUCGCCGCCUCGCCCGACCUCGGCCUCGGACCGACUGCGCUACAGGUGAUACAUCAUUACCCUACCCCUAGCUAGCUGCCUCAGGCUACGAAGGAACAAGACCGAUGCCCCAUUUAGAUUACUCCGGCAACAGGUAAUGAUGGUUCACUGCAUGCGUCCAUGACGUCGAUUGUUCUCAACUCUCUACGAAGGCAAAGAAACGUCAGCAGGACCCCGGGUCGCACCGCCAGCUGCGCUUCUACAGGGCUCAAGUACUUCUCCGCCGGCCACGUUAGCACAUAGCUACACCCCCAUGUACAGCUGGACCAUCUCCUUGUAUCUAUAAAAGGGAUGUCCAGGGCCAUCCCAAAGGAGGCAGGCGGAGAAGGAGAGAAAACGCAGAGAAGGCUAACUCAGACGGCUCAGCUCAAGGGCGCACUCUCUCUCUCUCUCUCUCGCGAAGCUUGUAACCCCUACUACGAGCACCCCGGUGCAAGAUAAUAUAAGCCUCAUCCUCCCUCUCGUGUUUCAUCUUGCAUCAACCCAUCUGGGCAGGGACACGCAACAUCAAAUUCACUGGUCGGUUGAGGGUCCUCGCGGGUCCAAAACGCCGACAGUUGGCGCGCCAGGUAGGGGUCCUGCUGCGUGUUGACAAAUACUUGCCCGUUGAGUUCCAGAUGGACAAUCUUCAGCAGCCUCUUCAGCCCGGGACGGUACUCCGCUUCGGGAGUCUCGAGUUUAUGUCCCUUGACGGCAGCUACGACAUGGUACUCCUUCCCCCACAGCAUGACAACAACGACGGUCAUCGGCUCGCCCGGCCGAGGCGACCCCGACGACGGCGACAUCUCCCCGUGGCGGAAGAGGAGCACCCGGGUUUGCCCUGCCACCCUCCUCGCCGGAGGAGGAGGAGACGGAGCAACCGCGGUCAGGCUCGAGGCGGCACUUCGUCGACUGUCAGACCAGAGCGAGCCGACGACGUCGGCACCCCUACGGGAGACAUGUCGGGUGUUAUCCCCGCUCCUGAGACAACGAUGUGUGUCGCUUCCCAGCAACGUGCCAACCCCAGGCGGACUGAUGACGCCGGCACACUCGCGAGGAACUUGUCAGACAUUAGUCUCGCACCUGAGAUAACGACACAUUCCAUCCCCGAUGCAACUUCACCAUCGUCCAUCAACCAGGAUGUACCAUCAGUUUUCCACCCUGUUCCCUUUAGAUUCAGCUUCGAUCCACCAAGCGACCCCACCUCGAUGAGCGCUUUCGCAAGGGCAUAUCCUGACCUUCCGGGGUACCAUAUGUGGUCAACUUGGGACCGACUGACGACCGUCUCAACCUCCAGACCCGCGGGUUCCGAGGAAGAAGACGACCCCGACUUCAGUUGGGAUUUCUCCGGACUCCGUGAUCCAGUGCCAUGCGAGACUUCAUAUCCACAUGUGACCACUGUCUCUCCGGCUACUCUGACGAUGGCCACAGCUUCGACGACGAGGGUUACGACCCAACUCGCGAGUGUUUCCACAUCGAUCAGGGGGAUCACGACGAAGACAACCACCUCGGCAUGCCAGGAAAUGACGACGCGCUUGCGUCUCACGUUGAGACCCCGCGAGAGCUAGCUGUGGUCCGGGUCCCUGCGGGGGGGGGGGGGGGGAUCAGGGCACACAACUCGAGCAACUCCGUGAGAUGCAGGCCAAGCUCGACGAAGAAACGGGGCGACUUGUGCAGCUCCAGCAAAACAUCGAGCAGGAGUGGGCAGGCCGAGCACUCGCCGGAGGAGCGCGUCAUCGGGCCCGAGACGUCCAGCACCGUAUCAUUGACGAUGCCAGGGCAGGGCUGCCCUCGACCUUCAGUGGGGUCGGCCAGAACCUAGCUGCAGCGGCGAUGCUACUUCGAACAAUGCCGGAGCCAUCCACCACCGAGGGCGAACUCAAGGACCCCCUGGAAAACGCCGCUGUCCGACGAGCCGAGAGCUCUGCCUCCCGAGGGAGAGGAGGCCCCUCGGAGCAUCAUGCAGCGUCCUCUCGACGCAUGUGCGAGGCCUCAGUCCACACCGAGCACACAGGAGACAGGACACCUGCCACCCGGGAUCACCUCGGCGACGAGCAACACCGCCGCGACCGUCGAGCCCGCCUUGAGGAGAAGGUGCGCCAAGGCUACCACCCUAGGCGCGGGGGACACUACGACAGUGAGGAGGAUCGGAGCCCCUCGCCCGAACCACCAGGUCCGCGAGUCUUCAGCUGGGCCAUACGACGGGCGCCAUUCCCGGCCCGGUUCCGAGCCCCGACUACUAUUACCAAGUACUCAGGGGAGACAAGGCCGGAGUUGUGGCUUGCGGAUUACCGGCUGGUGUGCCAGUUGGGAGGGAUGGACGACGACAACUUCAUCAUCCGCAACCUCCCCCUUUUCCUCUCCGACGCUGCCCAGGCCUGGUUGGAGCAUCUGCCUCCUACGCAGAUCUUCGGCUGGGACGACCUAGUCAAGGCCUUCGCAGGAAAUUUCCAAGGUACGUACGUGCGCCCUGGGAACUCAUGGGAUCUCUGGAGCUACCGCCAGCAGCUAGGGGAAUCCCUGCGAGAAUACAUCCGACAGUUUUCAAAGCAGUGCACCGAGUUGCCCAACAUCACCGACUCAGACGUCAUCGGGGCAUUCCUCGCCGGCACCACUUGCCGGGACCUGGUGAGCAAACUGGGACACAAGACUCCCACCAAGGCAAGCGAAUUGAUGGACAUAGCCACCAAAUUCGCCUCUGAUCAGGAGGCGGUCGAAGCCAUCUUCUGGAAGGACAAGCAGCCUCAGGGAAGACAAAAGGAAGACGCCCCCGAGGCGUCCGUCCAGCGUGGCACGAAGAAGAAGACCAGGAAGAAGGCGCAAGCGAAACGCAACGCCAUUGAUGCGGAUCUCGUCGCUGCUGCCGAACACAGGAAUCCUCGGAAACCUCUCGGAGGGGCCAACGUGUUCGAUAAGAUGCUCAAGGAGUCGUGCCCCUAUCACAGGGGUCCCGUCAAGCACACCCUUGAAGAGUGCGACAUGCUCUGGCGUUACUUCAACAAGGCUGGACCCUCGGCAGAAGGUGGCAAGGACCAAGGCAACAACAAGAAGGGGGUGACAAGGAAGAAGAGUUCUCAGAGGUCCACAACUGCUUCAUGAUCUACGGCGGACAAGUGGCGAAUGCUUCGGCUCGACACCGCAAGCAAGAGCGCUGAGAGGUCUGCUCGGUGAAGGUAGCAACGCCAGUCUACCUAGACUGGUCCAACAAACCCAUUACCUUCGACCAAGGCGACCACCCCGACUGCGUACCGAGCCUAGGAAGGUACCCGCUUGUCGUCGACCCCGUCAUCGGCAACGCUAGGCUCUCUAAGGUUCUCAUGGACGGAGGCAGCAGCCUCAACAUCAUCUACGCUGAGACCAUAGGGCUCUUGGGGGUCGAUCUGUCCAUGAUCCGGGCCGGCGCAGCACCUUUUCACGGGAUUGUCCCCGGCAAGCGUGUCCUGCCCCUUGGGCAAUUUGAUUUGCACGUCUGCUUCGGAACUCCCUCCAACUUUAGAAAGGAAACCCUCAUUUUCGAGGUGGUCGGUUCCGAGGGACCUAUCACGCGGUGCUAGGAAGACCGUGCUACGCUAAGUUCAUGGCCGUCCCCAACUACACGUACCUCAAGAUCAAGAUGCCAGGCCCCAAGGGAACCAUCACCGUCGGUUCCACAUACUGCCACACUUACGAGUGCGACAUGAAAUGCGUGGAGUACGCCGAAGCCCUCACCGAGUCCGAAGCCCUCAUUGUCGACCUGGAUUGCCUCUCCAAAGAGGCGCCCGACGCAAAGCGACACGUCGACAACUUCGAACCAGCUGAGGCGGUUAAGUCUGCCUCUCUCGACCCCAGCAACGACGCCGGAAAGAAAGUAAGGAUUGGCUCCGAGCUCGACCCCAGAUAGGAAGCAGUGCUCGUCGACUUUCUCCGCGCAAACGCCGAAGUUUUUGCAUGGAGUCCCUCGGACAUGCCAGGCAUACCGAGGGAUGUCGCCGAGCACUCACUGGACAUCCGAGCCGGUGCCCGACCCGUGAAACAGCCCCUGCGCCGUUUUGAUGAAGAAAAGCGCAGAGCCAUAGGCGAGGAGGUCCACAAGCUAAUGGCUGCUGGGUUAAUCAAAGAGGUAUUCCAUCCAGAAUGGUUAGCUAACCCUGUGCUUGUAAAGAAAAAAGGUGGGAAAUGGAGGAUGUGUGUAGACUACAUUGGGUUAAAUAAAGCAUGUCCAAAGGUUCCCUACCCUCUGCCUCACAUCGAUCAAAUUGUGGACUCCACUGCUGGGUGCGAAACCCUGUCUUUCCUCGAUGCCUAUUCAGGCUAUCACCAAAUCAAGAUGAAAGAAUCCGACCAGCUCGCGACUUCUUUUAUCACACAUUUUGGCAUGUAUUGUUAUACUACUAUGCCAUUUGGCUUAAGGAAUGCAGGUGCAACAUACCAAAGGUGUAUGAACCACGUGUUCGGAGAGCACAUCGGCAGAACGGUCGAGGCUUACGUCGAUGACAUCGUUGUCAAAACAAGGAAAGCCUCCGACCUCCUGUCUGACCUUGAGGUAACAUUCAGGUGUCUAAGAGCGAAGGGCGUAAAACUCAAUCCCGAGAAGUGUGUCUUUAGGGUCCCCCGAGGCAUGCUCCUAGGAUUCAUCGUCUCCGAACGAGGCAACAAGGCCAACCCGGAGAAAAUCGCAGCCAUCACCAACAUGGGACCCAUCAAAGAUUUAAAAGGAGUACAAAGGGACAUGGGAUGCCUUGCGGCUCUGAGCCGCUUCAUCUCGCGCCUUGGCGAGAAAGGAUUGCCCUUGUACCGCCUCUUAAGGAAGGCCAAGCGCUUUACUUGGACUCCCGAGGCCGAAGAAGCCCUCGGAAACUUAAAGGCGCUCCUUACUAAAGCGCCCAUCUUGGUGCCCCCCGCUUCGGGAGAACCCCUCUUGAUUUACGUAGCCGCAACCACUCAGGUGGUCAGCGCUGCGGUCGUAGUCGAGAGACGAGAAGAGGGGCAUACACUGCUCAUCCAGAGGCCAGUCUACUUCAUCAGCGAGGUGCUAUCCGAGACCAAAAUCCGCUACCCGCAAAUCCAAAAACUACUGUACGCGGUGAUUCUGACACGGCGAAAGCUGCGACACUACUUCGAGUCUCAUCCGGUGACUAUGGUGUCAUCCUUCCCCCUGGGAGAGAUCAUCCAGUGCCGAGAGGCCUCGGGUAGGAUAGCAAAAUGGGUGGUGGAACUCAUGGGGGAAACACUUUCAUUUGCCCCCCGGAAGGCCAUAAAAUCCCAAGUCCUGGCUGACUUCCUGGCUGAAUGGGUCGACACCCAAUUGCCAACAGCUCCAAUCCAGGCCGAACUUUGGACCAUGUACUUCGAUGGGUCGCUUAUGAAAACUGGAGCAGGUGCUGGCUUGCUCUUCAUCUCACCCCUCGGGAAACAUGUGUGCUACGUGAUACGCCUCCAUUUUCCGGUGUCAAACAACGUGGCCGAGUACGAGGCCUUGGUUAAUGGAUUACGUAUUGCCGUCGAGCUAGGGGUCCGGCGCCUCAACGCUCGUGGCCACUCGCAGCUCGUUAUUGACCAAGUCAUGAAGAACUCCCACUGCCGCGAUCGAAAAAUGGAGGCCUACUGCGACGAAGUUCGGUGCUUGGAAGAUAAGUUCUACGGUCUGGAACUCAACCAUGUUGCUCGACGGUACAACGAGACUGCGCAUGAGCUGGCUAAAAUAGCCUCAGGACGGAUGACGGUUCCCCCAAACGUCUUCUCCAGGGACAUAUAUCAACCAUCUGUCAAACUCGACGACGCGCCCGAACCCGAGGAGACCUCGGCCCAGCCCGAGGUACCCUCGGCCGCCGAGGGUGAGGCCCUGCGCGUCGAGGGAGAGCAGUACGGGGUUACGCCAAACCUCAACUGGCAGACCCUUUACCCGGAAUAUCUCCUCCGAGGAGAGCUGCCCCUCGACAAGGCCGAAGCUCGGCGGCUGGCUCGGCGCGCCAAGUCGUUCGUUUUACUAGGUGAUGAAAAAGAGUUGUACCACCGCAGCCCCUCAGGCAUUCUCCAAUGAUGCAUAUCCGUCGCCCAAGGACAAGAGCUGUCACAGGAAAUACACUCGGGGGCUUGCGGUCACCAUGCAGCACCUCGAGCCCUCGUAGGUAACGCUUUCCGACAAGGGUUCUACUGGCCGACCGCGGUGGCCGACGCCACUAGGAUUGUAUGCUCCUGCCGAGGGUGUCAAUUCUACGCGAGACGGACGCACCUGCCUGCUCAGACCCUACAGAAAAUACCUAUCACUUGGCCGUUUGCCGUAUGGGGUCUGGACCUCGUCGGUCCCUUGCAGAAGGCACCCGGGGGCUUCACACACCUGCUGGUCGCCAUCGACAAAUUCUCCAAGUGGAUCGAAGUCCGACCCUUAACCAGCAUCGGGUCCGAGCAGGCGGUGGCGUUCUUUACAAAUAUCAUCCAUCGUUUUGGGGUCCCAAACUCCAUAAUCACUGACAAUGGCACACAAUUCACUAGGAAAAAGUUCCUAGACUUCUGCGAAGGCCUCCACAUCCGUGUGGACUGCGCCGCCGUAGCUCACCCAAUGACAAAUGGGCAGGUGGAGCGCACCAAUGGCAUGAUUUUGCAGGGACUAAAAUCGUGGAUCUACAACGACCUCAACAAGUUUGGCAAGCGGUGGAUGAAAGAGCUACCCUCGGUGGUUUGGAGUCUGAGGACGACGCCGAGCCGGGCCACGGGCUUCUCGCCGUUCUUUCUAGUCUAUGGGGCCGAGGCCGUCCUACCCACAGACCUAGAAAACGGUUCCCCGAGGACAAAGGCGUGUACGACGACCAAAACAACCAGAUCAACCGAGAAGAUUCAUUGGACCAUCUGGAACAGGCUCGGGACAUAGCCUUACUACACUCGGCGCGGUAUCAGCAGUCUCUGCGACGCUACCACGCCCGAAGGAUUCGGCCUCGAGGCUUCCAAGUGGGAGAUUUGGUGCUUCGGCUACGACAAGACGCCCGAGGGCGCCACAAGCUCACUCCUCCCUGGGAAGGGCCGUUCAUCAUCGCCAAAAUUUUGAAGCCCGGGAGAUACAAGCUGGCCAACGAUCAAGGCGAGGUCUACAACAACGCUUGGAACAUCGAACAGCUACGUCACUUUUACCCUUAAAGUGUUUCAAGUCGUUCAUGUAUCUCGCUUUCCUUACAUGUAUAAAUAAAGUCUAACCAUCAAGGAAGGAUUAGCCUUGCCUCGGCAAAGCUAGACCCUCCCUCGGGGGCUAGAAGGGGGAACCCCCUCUGCGUCAAAAUUUUCCUCGGAAAAGUUUUCUACCAAAACGACUUUCAUGCCUUUCGACUAUAUCGAUAACGGAAUCCAAAAAACGAGCUAGAGAGACAUUGAACGACAAGGCCGACCGAGUCGAGAGACUCCUACGCCUCCGGGAUACAGAUACCUCACUCAUCACCUUCCGUGAAAAGUAACUCACGCUCGGGCAAGUGAUUCUGCUACCGAACAAGUCCUAACGCUCAAAACAAGAGGAAAGAAACGCAGCUUCAUACUAUAACACUAAAAAUGUUUUGGCCUCAGCAGCCGCAAAAAACAUACACAUACUUAAAAAAAA
rnacentral:lncRNA from 1 species